GAUGAACGCUGGCGGCGUGCCUAAUACAUGCAAGUCGAGCGAACGGACGAGAAGCUUGCUUCUCUGAUGUUAGCGGCGGACGGGUGAGUAACACGUGGAUAACCUACCUAUAAGACUGGUAUAACUUCGGGAAACCGGAGCUAAUACCGGAUAAUAUUCUGAACCGCAUGGUUCAAAAGUGAAAGACGGUCUUGCUGUCACUUAUAGAUGGAUCCGCGCUGCAUUAGCUAGUUGGUAAGGUAACGGCUUACCAAGGCAACGAUGCAUAGCCGACCUGAGAGGGUGAUAGGCGACACUGGAACUGAGACACGGUCCAGACUCCUACGGGAGGCAGCAGUAGGGAAUCUUCCGCAAUGGGCGAAAGCCUGACGGAGCAACGCCGCGUGAGUGAUAAAGGUCUUCGGAGCGUAAAACUCUGUUAUUAGGGAAGAACAUAUGUGUAAGUAACUGUGCACAUCUUGACGGUACCUAAUCAGAAAGCCACGGCUAACUACGUG
rnacentral:rRNA from 1 species